CGCGUAGGCGGACCUGUGGGUCUGAUGUGAAAGCCCGGGGCUCAACCCCGGAAGUGCAUUGGAAACUACAGGUCUCGAGUUUGGGAGAGGAGAGCAGAAUUCCCGGUGUAGGGGUGGAAUCCGUAGAUAUCGGGAGGAAAACCAGUGGCGAAGGCGGCUCUCUGGAACAUAACUGACGCUAAGGCGCGAAAGCGUGGGGAGCAAACAGGAUUAGAUACCCUGGUAGUCC
rnacentral:rRNA from 1 species